rnacentral:rRNA from 1 species
UACGUAGGGUGCGAGCGUUGUCCGGAAUUAUUGGGCGUAAAAGAGCUCGUAGGCGGUCUGUCGCGUCGGAUGUGAAAAUCCAGGGCUCAACCCUGGACCUGCAUUCGAUACGGGCAGACUAGAGUUCGGCAGGGGAGAUUGGAAUUCCUGGUGUAGCGGUGGAAUGCGUAGAUAUCAGGAGGAACACCGAUGGCGAAGGCAGGUCUCUGGGAAACAACUGACGCUGAGGAACGAAAGCGUGGGUAGCAAACAGG